AGUGAUUUGGCAGAUUAUUGUAUUAAAUUUAGAAUUUAAUUAAGUAUUAUAAAGUACAUUCAUUA
rnacentral:tRNA from 1 species